GGAGAGAUGACCGAGCGGUUGAAGGUGCACGCCUGGAAAGCGUGUGUACUCUAACAGGUACCAAGGGUUCGAAUCCCUUUCUCUCCGCCA
rnacentral:tRNA from 1 species